rnacentral:sRNA from 1 species
GCCAGGAUCGCCACCCGUCAGCGCUGAGCGCCCACGGGUGCUUUUUUG